CCUACGGGUCGCAGCAGUGGGGAAUAUUGGACAAUGGGCGAAAGCCUGAUCCAGCAAUGCCGCGUGUGUGAAGAAGGCCUUCGGGUUGUAAAGCACUUUUAUCAGGAACGAAAUACCACGGGUUAAUACCCUAUGGGGCUGACGGUACCUGAGGAAUAAGCACCGGCUAACUUCGUGCCAGCAGCCGCGGUAAUACGAAGGGUGCAAGCGUUAAUCGGAAUUACUGGGCGUAAAGCGUGCGUAGGCGGUUUGUUAAGUCUGCUGUGAAAGCCCUGGGCUCAACCUGGGAAUGGCAGUGGAAACUGGCGAGCUAGAGUGUGAUAGAGGAUGGUGGAAUUCCCGGUGUAGCGGUGAAAUGCGUAGAGAUCGGGAGGAACAUCAGUGGCGAAGGCGGCCAUCUGGAUCGACACUGACACUGAGAGACGAAAGCUAGGGGAGCGAAUGGGAUUAGAUACCCCAGUAGUC
rnacentral:rRNA from 1 species